rnacentral:rRNA from 1 species
UACGUAGGUGGCAAGCGUUGUCCGGAUUUAUUGGGCGUAAAGCGAGCGCAGGCGGUUCCUUAAGUCUGAUGUGAAAGCCCCCGGUGCAACCGGGGAAGGUCAUUGGAAACUGGGGAACUUGAGUGCAGAAGAGGAGAGUGGAAUUCCAUGUGUAGCGGUGAAAUGCGCAGAGAUAUGGAGGAACACCAGUGGCGAAGGCGACUUUCUGGACUGUAACUGACACUGAGGCACGAAAGCGUGGGUAGCAAACAGG